rnacentral:rRNA from 1 species
CCUACGGGUGGCAGCAGUGGGGAAUAUUGCACAAUGGGGGAAACCCUGAUGCAGCGACGCCGCGUGAGUGAAGAAGGAUUUCGGGAUGUAAAGCUCUAUCAGCAGGGAAGAAAAUGACGGUACCUGAUUAAGAAGCCACGGCGAACUACGGGCCAGAAGCCGCGGUAAGACGGAGGGGGCAAGCGUUAUCCGGAUUUACUGGGUGGAAAGGGAGCGUAGACGGCAGCACAAGUCUGGAGUGAAAUGCCGGGGCUUAACCCCGGAACUGCUUUGGAAACUGUGUAGCUAGAGUGCAGGAGAGGUAAGUGGAAUUCCUGGUGUAGCGGUGAAAUGCGUAGAUAUUAGGAGGAACACCAGUGGCGAAGGCGGCUUACUGGACUGUAACUGACGUUGAGGCUCGAAAGCGUGGGGAGCAAACAGGAUUAGAUACCCCAGUAGUC